rnacentral:rRNA from 1 species
UACGUAGGGUGCAAGCGUUGUCCGGAAUUAUUGGGCGUAAAGAGCUCGUAGGCGGUCUGUCGCGUCUGCUGUGAAAACUCAGGGCUUAACCCUGAGCUUGCAGUGGGUACGGGCAGACUAGAGUGCGGUAGGGGAGACUGGAAUUCCUGGUGUAGCGGUGAAAUGCGCAGAUAUCAGGAGGAACACCGGUGGCGAAGGCGGCUGCCUGGACCAGUCCUGACGCUGAGGCGCGAAAGCGUGGGGAGCGAACAGG